UACAAUGGGGGUACGAGAGGGCCGCUACCACGCGAGUGGAUGCCAAUCCCCAAACCUCUCUCAGUUCGGACUGGAGUCUGCAACCCGACUCCACGAAGCUGGAUUCGCUAGUAAUCGCGCAUCAGCCACGGCGCGGUGAAUACGUUCCCGGGCCUUGUACACACCGCCCGUCAAGCCAUGGGAGCCGGGGGUACCUGAAGUGCGUAGCCGCGAGGAGCGCCCUAGGGUAAAACUGGUGACUGGGGCUAAGUCGUAACAAGGUACC
rnacentral:rRNA from 1 species